GACCUCGUAGCUCAGCUGGUAGGGCAUACGCGUACAAAGCGUAGGGUGUGUAUAUGUGUGGGUUCGAAUCCCACCCAGGCUA
rnacentral:tRNA from 1 species